ACGGAAGGCAGCAGUGGGGAGUAUUGGGCAAUGGGCGAAAGCCUGACCCAGCGACGCCGCGUGAGGGAAGAAGGUCUUCGGAUUGUAAACCUUAGUCAACAGGGAAGAAGCAAGUGACGGUACCUGUGGAGGAAGCCACGGCUAACUACGUGCCAGCAGCCGCGGUAAUACGUAGGUGGCGAGCGUUAUCCGGAUUUACUGGGUGUAAAGGGUGUGUAGGCGGGACUGCAAGUCAGAUGUGAAAAUUAUGGGCUUAACUCAUAACCUGCAUUUGAAACUGUGAUUCUUGAGGGUCGGAGAGGUAACUGGAAUUCCUGGUGUAGCGGUGAAAUGCGUAGAUAUCAGGAGGAACACCGGUGGCGAAGGCGGGUUACUGGACGAUUACUGACGCUGAGACACGAAAGCGUGGGGAGCAAACAGGAUUAGAUACCCUGGUA
rnacentral:rRNA from 1 species